CGACGAGUUUCUAGACGACGUGGAAUAGUGUGGCACCGGGUGUAACCAACUAGCUAACAUUAGCCUAGUUAGAUGUAGCCAGCUCCUAGAUUUUGUCGUUGCGUGCAGCUGUAAAAUGACCACAGGGGACAUAAUCAAUACGCGCCGUCGGUUUAAUUCAACAUAGUCAGUGUAAUUUUUAAAAACACAGCUACUGUCUUCGGCGUCUUGUUUUUUUUAGCCGGUUGGUAUCUGACCCGUGUUAGCCAGUUAGUUAGCCACCUAAGCUAGCUAUAGCUUAUGGGUGCUAAAGUUAGCCGUGACGUCACCGAGUGUCUUGUUGCCUGAUCUCACAUUACGGACACGUCAAGGUUGCCCAGAUCUUUACCUUGUUUUGGGGGGCUGUGAUGUCAGAGCCCAAGACGCCUACUCCAACCCCAGCUGGUGACACAUACAAAGGCUGGGUGUUCAAAUGGACAAACUACAUCAAGGGAUAUCAACGGCGAUGGUUUGUCUUGAGCAAUGGAUUAUUGUCCUACUACAGGACCCAGGCAGAAAUGGGCCACACAUGUAGGGGAACAAUCAACUUGGCAACAGCAACAAUUGCUGUGGAUGAUGCUUGUAACUUUGUCAUCUCUAAUGGUGGGGCACAGACUUAUCACCUGAAAGCCAGCUGUGAGGUGGAACGCCAGCGGUGGAUCACUGCCUUGGAGCUGGCUAAAGCCAAGGCUGCACGAAUGCAGGCCGAGUCAGAUGACUCUGGGGACGACUUCUCUCCAUCUUCUCCCCCAGCGCCGCCUGGACAAGGUGCAGGGACACAGAGCUCAGAGGUCCAGUCAACACUCAGGACACUGGGCAGCAAGGUGGAAGAUCUAAGCACGUGCAAUGACCUCAUCUCUAAACAUGGCUCUGCCCUUCAAAGGUCUUUGUCAGAGCUGGACAGCUUGCGUCUCACUGGAGAGGCUGGGGACAAGAUUCGGCAGGUAACUGAGAGAGCCACACUGUUCCGUAUCACCUCCAAUGCCAUGAUUAACGCCUGCAGAGACUUCCUGGCUCUGGCACAGGCCCACAGUAAGCGGUGGCAGAAAGCCCUUCAGGCCGAACGAGAGCAGCGGGUGAGGCUGGAGGAGACCCUUGAGCAGCUGGCCAAGCAGCACAAUCACUUGGAGAGAGCUUUCAGAGGGGCUUCACAGGCUAACACCACCACAGAAAGCAAAGGUUCUGCUGGGCCUGGAAAGGGGGAGGCGAGCGAUGAGGACGAUGACAAUGAGUUCUUUGAUGCCAUGGAGGAGGCCCCCGAGUUCAUCACAGUGCCUGCAGAUCCUCAGUUUCACAAAAGGUCGAGUAGUAAUAUCAGUGGCUUCAACAGUGAAAUGUGUCCUGAUGAUCAGUCGCUUAAUGAGGAGCCGCUAACCAUCAGUCAGGAGUCCCCAUCUCAGGAGAUGGUCCCCCUGAAGAAGAGGCGGACCCGCAUUCCUGACAAACCCAACUACUCACUAAACCUAUGGAGCAUCAUGAAGAACUGCAUUGGCAAAGAGCUGUCCAAGAUCCCCAUGCCUGUGAACUUCAACGAGCCCAUUUCCAUGCUGCAGCGCUUGUCGGAGGACCUGGAGUACCACGAGCUCCUGGACAAGGCGGGAAAGUGUCAGAGCUCCCUAGAGCAGUUGUGCUAUGUGGCGGCCUUCUCCAUUUCCUCUUAUUCCACUACUGUCCACCGCACUGGCAAGCCCUUCAACCCCUUGCUGGGCGAGACGUAUGAGUUGGACCGCCGAAGAGAGAGUGGCUACCGCUCCCUCUGUGAGCAGGUGAGUCACCACCCCCCAGCAGCAGCGCACCAUGUGAUAUCUGAUCGAGGCUGGACCCUGAGGCAAGAGAUCACUGUCGCCAGUAAAUUCAGGGGCAAAUACCUUUCCAUCAUGCCCUUAGGCACAAUCCACGCUAUCUUUGAGAAGGGCAACAAUCACUACACAUGGAAGAAAGUCACCACUACCGUACAUAACAUCAUUGUAGGCAAACUAUGGAUUGAUCAGUCAGGAGAAAUAGACGUGGUGAACCACACAACAGGAGACCGCUGCCACCUAAAGUUUGCCCCCUACAGCUACUUCUCCAGAGAUGUAGCCAGGAAGGUGACGGGCGUGGUGAUGGACAAGGACGGCAAGGCCCACUAUGUGUUGUCUGGCACAUGGGAUGAAAAGAUGGAGUUCUCCAGGGUGAUGCAGAGCAGCCGAGGGGGGGAGAAUGGCACCGAAGGCAAGCAGAAGACGGUCUACCAGACCCUCAAAGCUCGGGAGGUUUGGAGAAGGAACGCUCUACCUGAUAGGGCAGAGACCAUGUACUUCUUCACUGACCUGGCUCUCACCCUGAAUGAGCCCGAGGAUGGCAUCGCUCCCACGGACAGCAGGCGCCGCCCGGACCAGCGGCUAAUGGAAGACGGCCGCUGGGAUGAGGCCAACACUGAGAAGCAAAGACUUGAGGAGAAGCAGCGCAACGUCCGCCGCGAGAGGGAGAGGGAAGCUGCCAGUCAGCGCACCGCCAGCCAAUCAGAAGAAGCUGGCGAUGAGGACUCUUUUAAUGACCCCUCUCUCAAAAGUGCUCCUCAUGACAACUACAAGGCUCUGUGGUUCGAGCGCUGUGAGGACCCCACCACAGGUGAGCUUGUUCACAUAUAUAAGGGAGGUUAUUGGGAAGCCAAGGAGCAUGGCAGCUGGGAGGCCUGUCCAGACAUAUUCUGACCUCACCAUUGACUGGGGAACACCUCCAAACAGGAUGCCCCCCACCCAAACACCACCUCCAACGCCCCCGGAGCUGACCGGCAGACAGCCUACUGCAAAGGCCUGCCCGCCCUAUGCGAUGGCCAUUCCUUCCAAUGGCUCUCUGUUUUAAGAGAUCUGGAGGAAGGACGCAGAAGUUUGAUCCAAUUGGGGGAACUUGCUCUGAAAUCUGGCCCCAUACCAUUUUGGUCUCCGGUACCUUAUCCAGUGUUGGGCCCCUGGGCCUGAUGCAGUCACAUGUCUGAAGGAUCACGAAAGUUUUUUUUUUUUUUUUUUGGUCUUGUUUUUCUGUUUGUUUGCUUUUGAUGGCUGGUUCUGCUGUCAGUCUUAGAUGGCUCAUAUGAAAAGGAUAAGGGGCCAGGGGAGGAAAUGGAAUGGACAGAGCUUCCUUAUGUUGCAAAGUUGGUGUGAUGGCUGUUUCUGAGAUAUAAAGUGAUAGAAGAGAGGUAGAGCCAAGUUACUGAACUCAAAGAUGACGGCGAAAAAAGGUUUUGCCCGUUAAUGGAGACAGAACAACGCCGUGCGCUGCUGCUGUUUAGUCCCAUGAAACAUGAACAAGACCAAAACGUCACGCCGAAGCCUUUUUGUGUUGGAGGAGAGUAAAGUUUCUUUGCUGUAAAAGUUGUUUUAAAUAGUGUUGUAAUGUGGGUAAAGUUAAUUGGUGUGAUUUUUGUGUUGUGAAGAUGAAAUGGUGUGAGAACCACAACUGAGUGGGCGCUGAAAAAUGAGGAGAAAUCGAUGCAGUCCUGGGGGGGGGGGGGAUUGUCACACAUGGCCCAACACACACACACACACACACACACACACACACACACACACACACUCUCUUUACAGUGCUUUGUCAAGUUCAUACAUAUGCAAGUGUGUGUUUUGACACCAAAAAUGUGGGAUAUACUGUGUGUGUGAGUUUCAUAAUUUUGUUUGUAAGUGUACUUAAAAAUGAAGAGUAAGGAAACAAAGAAUUUAAAACCAUUGCAAAUAACUAUGAUUUUAUAAAUGUAUAGAAAAUAGUAUUAUAAUAUAGUAUUGAUAAUUGUAAGGUAGGUUUUUCUUGUCCUAUGGUUCCCUCCUGUAUUAUUCGGAGGGGAUUGUCUUCAUUUUCACAUAAAAAAGGGAGUUUCACAUGAGUUCAGUAUAUUGUCUUAAAACGGUUGGGGGGGAAAAACUUACAAACAGACGCUGUUAUGUCAGAAGAACUGCUUUUCAUACCCUGGUCUUUAAUUAUCUGUAUCACUUGCAGCAUUUUUCAUUGUUAUUAAUUGGGGUAACACAAUUGAAAGUUGUUUGCCAAAUCAGUGCUGUAGGAACGUCUGUCCUCUUGUCGAGUACAAGCUGUGCAACAUUGUUGGGGAUGGCAUAAUAUGUUGACAUUGAAAUAAUAAAAAGCCAACAGAAAAAAAAAACU